CCUGCCCCUAGAGGCAUUGCAGGUGUGACUGCCGCAUCACAUGUGCAUCAGUAGAUGGCAGAGAAGAAAGAAGCUACAUCUACACAGUGUUCUGACCAGUGAACAUCUAGUAAUAAUUAGUAGCCUAACACG